rnacentral:rRNA from 1 species
AGUGAACGCUGGCGGUAGGCCUAACACAUGCAAGUCGAACGGCAGCACAGUAAGAGCUUGCUCUUACGGGUGGCGAGUGGCGGACGGGUGAGGAAUACAUCGGAAUCUACUUUUUCGUGGGGGAUAACGUAGGGAAACUUACGCUAAUACCGCAUACGACCUACGGGUGAAAGCAGGGGAUCUUCGGACCUUGCGCGAUUGAAUGAGCCGAUGUCGGAUUAGCUAGUUGGCGGGGUAAAGGCCCACCAAGGCGACGAUCCGUAGCUGGUCUGAGAGGAUGAUCAGCCACACUGGAACUGAGACACGGUCCAGACUCCUACGGGAGGCAGCAGUGGGGAAUAUUGGACAAUGGGCGCAAGCCUGAUCCAGCCAUGCCGCGUGAGUGAAGAAGGCCUUCGGGUUGUAAAGCCCUUUUAUUGGGAAAGAAAAGCAGCAGAUUAAUACCCCGCUGUUCUGACGGUACCCAAAGAGUAAGCACCGGCUAACUUCGUG